AUAGAAUGUAGGUCGAUGCAGUGCAAGUGCAGGCCGGCGUGCGACGACUGCACACUACACGCGCGCCGUGUACCGCGCUGCUGGCUGUGCAGGGAAGCGUGUCUUCCGGCAUCAACGCUUGCAACGGUCGUCCAACCGCCGAUCACUAGAGGGACACCGGCGGCUUCUUCACAGCGAUCGUUGAAUUGUGUGGCGACCGCCAUGAACGUCAGCGGCAAGGGGGCCUUUGUGACGGGAGGUGCCAGAGGACUGGGGCGCGGCAUCGUGGAAAUACUGUUGUCGAGAGGAGCUAAGGUAUUUUUCUGCGACAUCAGCGAGAGCAAUGGCCGUGCAACGGAGCAGGAACUGCAAAAAGUUUAUGGUGCAAGCCACGUGACGUUCUCUCAGUGUGACGUCACUAAUUCUUCUCAGCUUAAAGAUGUGUUCGAGCAGGCUGUCAGCAAGCUGGGGGCAGUGGAGAUUUGUGUCAACAAUGCAGGCAUCAUGGAUGAGAGGGUCUGGGAGACUAUGCUGGACAUCAACACGCGGGCCACUAUACGCGGCUGUCAACUGGCCUUUGACCACAUGGACAAGACGCGUGGGGGGAAGGGCGGGGUGAUUGUCAACAUGGUGUCCAUUGCAGGUCUUUUCUCCGAACAUUUCUUCCCAGUGUACGUGGCCACCAAGCAUGCUGUUCUCGGGUUCACGCUGAGCUGGGCUGUGAGCGUGCAUGGAGGAUGGCAAGCAAGGUGUGAGCUGGGCAUGUCUGUGUCCUGAUGGAUGCGACACCGACCUACGGCGCAAUCUGCAGGAGGGUCAAAUCAACGACAUCCCGCUACAGCAACCCCAACAAACUUCUGCUCAGUCCGGGAGAAGUUGCUGAUGCUCUGAUGAUGCUGGUGGAGAACAAGGACAGUAACGGGGCGAUACUACAGGUGUCCAAGACCAGGGGCGCCGUGUACCGGAAACGGAUGAUCGUUGAUGCCGACGGGGCGUCGAACCCAUUCUUCUGUGACUGACAGACUGACUCGGUCUGUGAACAUGAACACUGUAGUCGCCAUCCUAGGACGACACUGAUGUCAUGUUGUGAAGUUGUGAAAAUCGCUCAGUUUUGAAACUAUUAAAUUAAAAAAAAAACCU